UCCAGGCAUUAUUUUAUCAGUUUUCAUGAUCGGCAAAAAAACCCAAUAACGAUAUUGACCGAUAUUACAUUUUUAUGCCAAUAUUGGGCCGAUAAUAUUGGACAUCCCUAGAUGGAAUGAUGUAAAAUGUGGGGAAAACGCAACAUCUGAUACAAAUUUUACAGCAUUUAACUACUGUUGACUUCGAAAACAAAACAUUGGACACAUUUGACGUUAGUUUGCCAAAAAAAAUGUCAAAAGUUUCACUUAACUUCCACUAGUGGUGAUCAUGCCAGUUUGUUUUCCAUAAAUGGUACCUUUUGCAUUAUUCUACUUUUCUGGCUGACAGUUGUGGUCAUUCUUUGGCAAUUUUGCUGCAAACUCUCAGCAAGGUCAUGAUUUUUACAGGCAAAUUAAAGCAACUUCUGGCUAAUUUUGUGGAAAAUAUUUGAAUUGUUUUCAGAACUUAAGUAGUUUUUAUUACAGGUUCAAUCUGUCUCAAAUCAUCAAUUUUUUACAGGCACGUCUUCUUGAUCAUCGCUUGAUUUGUCUAAAAGUUUCACGGCAUAAAAUAUAGAUAUUUAUGAAGAUAUUUGUGAAAUUUGAGCUUGAUUUAUUCAAUACUUCGUCAUAUAUAUUUAAACUGCCUGUCAACCCAUUUUCACCCUGUGUUUCUGCACAUUAAAGAUAAAAGUGAAAUAUUUACUGUUAUUUUCUAUCAUCUUUGAUUCAGAAUCUGUGAUACUGGACAAGUAGUCUCUGUUUAUGGGUAAGCUGAAAUAUGAAAAAAUAGAAACAUUCAUGAAAAGUCCCAUCUUUCAGCACAUAUUAACAAAAAAAAUAAUAAUUCAGAAGUCAACUAGUGAUAUUUUCUGAACCAAAUGUAAUAGUGUCACAAUAUUACAAACAGAACAUAGAGAAUACAUUUAAAUAUCAAGUAGUAGUGUCAGAAAAAUUAAAUUAUUUUCAUGUUUCAACUCACCCAUAAUCAUAAUCAGAGACUAUUUGAUCUACCUGUCCAAUAUAGCAGAUUCUGAAUCAAUGAUAUGGUGAAAUUUUCAGGCUUUUAUCUGUAAUAGUUCUUGAGAUACUGUCAUUCAAACAUAGCCUCAAAUUUUAAUGCGUGAAAGUUAGUAAAAAGUGUUAAAUCUCAAAGUAUUUGAUCCAUCAAUCUAAAAUUUCACACCUAGUGUUAUAAAUGUCCAUAGUUUCCUGUUAAAAAAAAUAAAACUGAAGGCAUAUCAGAGAUGUUUGAGCAGAAGGUCUCUGAUGAUUUGAGAUUUAAUGACCCUAAAGUAAGAUUUUAUAAGUUGAACUUGCUUAUUUGCUAGUUGCUGGGUUGGUUUGCUCCUCCCACAGUCCAAAGACAUUCAUUCUAGGUUAAAUGGUGAUUUCUAAUUGGCCAUAAGUGUAAAUGUGAGCAUGAAUGAUUGUCUCUUUCGACCCUGCAGUGGACUGACGAUCUGUCCGUGACCUUCAGAGGGACAAAGUGUAUAAAUGAUGAUGGAUGAGGGUUUUUCACAAAGCUAAAUGUUCACUGUGAGUUUACAUUUUCAAAAGUGAACUACAACUGUCUACCAGAAUCUAAAUGUUGGUCGGGGAGACAUUGCACUCAAAACCUCAAAUAUGAACCACAUGGUGGCGCUACAGGAGCAGUCAGAAUCACCAAAGUCUUUAGAGUUCACCCUCUGGAAAAUAUGAAUGUCUGUACAAAGUUUCACAGCAACAUAUCAAAUAGUUCUGAGGUUUUUCAGUCUGGAAUAAAGUGUUUCUGUCCAUAGAGGUCUGUUAGUAGCAGGAUUAAGGAACAGAGGAACAGAGGAGCUGGAUAUUCAAUGUAAACGCUGAGUGCCAUCAUGAUUGAAAGACUAGAAGAAAGCCACCUCAAGAAACACUUCAUAGACAGAAACUCCAAACAGGAAAAAGUCACACUGCUUAAUUAACAAUCGGUCUCUUGCCAGAUGAUGAGACGUCACACCCAGACAUUCAGAAGUCAUUCAAGUUCACACAUUUCACGCUGAGUGCUAAUAAGACAGAUUGUACUUCAGUUGAGUAGAAAUUCAUUAUGCUCUUACACGUCUUCCCGAACAAAGAAAAUGCUAAUCUGUAUUUUGUAAGCUCCUCAUAGAUGAUCAGGGCGCAGGGAGCGAAUGCAGCAGAGAUUUAUUCCGAGCACAAAUCCGACACAAAAACGGGACAACAGGAAGUUGACAACAAACAGAGGAGACAUAGGAAAACCUACCGCUGAACUGUGGAACAGUUUAUUCAAAACCAGGGAACAGUUGCAUCCUGAGGCCAUGGCAGAUUAACAGCAAAGUGUGAGAACACACUCUGCUACUUCCAUGCACGAAUUCCACGUCAGAAGCGGAAACGAGGACACAAGAAUCACAAUCGCUCGCUUAAAAUCCAACCAAAAUUCAGAGAAUAUUCUGACCAGAGUGGAAAAAUGCCAAACCAGCCCACCACUGUGGACAAUCGAUCAUCAGUCUAUGUCUCUAACCUUUGCCUCCAGACCUCUGAUUGGAAGAACCGAUUGAUCAGUCAAAGUGUGGCCUGAGGGAGCUGCUGAUAUCUGACAGUUGUUUUGGGAGCACUGACUGGAAUUUACCUCCAUGUAAAGCUCACACACUGACCCCGAGGGAGACAUUUUAUCUUAGUGGAUAUGUAAUGAUACAGCUAAUUAUAGAACUAACAUAUCUUAUAGGCCAAGUUCUCAUCACUGAGUUUACAGUAGAAAAGGAUGAACAGUUACUUCUACUAAACUCCCACUAAAGUCCUAUUCACACGGGGUUAGUCUCACCUCGGGACCACUGUUCCCUCUAAGCUGUGCACGUGCGCAAUUGCGCACUGCUGACACGCUCUCUGCGCACACAAAAAAAAAUCCAACCUAAAUUGUAAAUAAAAUAAACACGUAACAAUUCAUUCUGUGCUAUUUUUCAGUAUGAGUCAGUGAGUGACCGGUGACUGGCUGCUGCAGCCAAUGAUGCGAUUCACAUACGUAUUUACCAUAGACUGUAUAUAAUGGUAUUUACGCAGCUAAUCAACGUCAUCUCCAAAGUUCUGCUGGACCAGCUCAGCUUCCCCUCAGAAGAAGUGCUGCCACCUGCCAGACGAAGGAGCCUUUUGAGAGGCAGCUGGCAUCGUGAUUGGACUGUACUUUGGUCUGUUCCAAUCCAGCUUCAGCUCCAGAGACGGCAGGCGGGACGAGUCAACGGAGGCCGGGUGGACGAAGGCAUGCAGCUGAGUACAAUCCAGAAAACAACAGAGGAGGAGUGCAGCAGCCCAGAGCCAGAACAACCAGAGUUGCAUGACCAAAGAACUACAGACUCUUCACAACCUGCUCAAACUCUUGGUACAGGACCUCACCACACGGGUCAAGAAGGUUUCCAUCUCAUUUCUACUCUGAAGCUCACCUUCUCCUGCUCAAACUGCUGACAAAUGUUUCUGCUGCUCUAAAGUCUGGUCUCCAGAACUUCCUAAAAACUCUCAAAGUCUCUUCUGCUGCAGGUUGCUUUGUAGAACUGUUCCAGAAAACCUCACUAAACCACAUGGAGGGGCCUCAAGAUAGUCGUCCAAAUGAAACCAUACAAAAACCAAACUAGCACAACCCAAACACUAAAGUCUCCUACAGCCUACCAGAGAACCUCUGAGAACAGAGAAUCAGGACAGGAACUCUUACCUUCUGGACAACCAACGCUGGUUCACAAACAAGAAUACAGAAUGUGUCUGACCAAAAACCUCUGAAGACUCACUACAGCCAAGAUAAAGACACAACUCAGCUGAACCAAAUCCACUAAUCACUGCACACAUUAGCACCAUGUGCCAACUGUGGCUAAAGAACCACAUUUACCAAGACAACUAUCCAGUACAAAGCCCUAAAACACACCAAGAAACACAUUAAAGACGAUUUUACUGCUGGAAGCUGCAAGCCAACGCCUAAAGAACAAACUAAAGCAAUGGAGCCAAACCCAGUUCACUGGUGAAGAGAAACAGGGGAAAUGUUUGUCUGCAGCUAAAUAAAGCAGGAAGACACUGAGCUGCUCAGGUGUUCCUGAUAACACCAAGCAGCCACCUGGACAGCCAAUAGGAACACAGCUUACUGGAAGUCCAGAGGGCUGGGUUAGUGAAGGAAAUUUAGUUUAAAGUUGAAGCAUAAAGUUAAUAAAGACAGUUGAAAACCA